rnacentral:rRNA from 1 species
GACGGGGAGCACCACAACAGGUGGAGCCUGCGGUUUAAUCGGACUCAACGCCGGGAAAACUCACCAGAUAAGACAGCUGAAUGAUAGUCGGGCUGAAGACUCUACUUGACUAGCUGAGAGGAGGUGCAUGGCCGUCGUCAGUUCGUACUGUGAAGCACCCUGUUAAGUCAGGCAACGAGCGAGACCCACGCCAACAGUUGCCAGCUCGUCCUCCGGGAUGGUGGGGACACUGUUGGGACCGCCUCUGCUAAAGAGGAGGAAGGAAUGGGCAACGGUAGGUCAGCAUGCCCCGAAUUAUCUGGGCUACACGCGGGCUACAAUGGGUGGGACAAUGGGUAUCGACACCGAGAGGUGGAGGCAAUCUCCUAAACCUGUCCUUAGUUCGGAUUGUGGGCUGCAACUCGCCCACAUGAAGCUGGAAUCCGUAGUAAUCGCGUUUCAAAUAGCGCGGUGAAUAUGUCCCUGCUCCUU